rnacentral:rRNA from 1 species
GAUGAACGCUGGCGGCGUGCCUAAUACAUGCAAGUCGAGCGAACGGACGAGAAGCUUGCUUCUCUGAUGUUAGCGGCGGACGGGUGAGUAACACGUGGAUAACCUACCUAUAAGACUGGGAUAACUUCGGGAAACCGUAGCUAAUACCGGAUAAUAUUUUGAACCGCAUGGUUCAAAAGUGAAAGACGGUCUUGCUGUCACUUAUAGAUGGAUCCGCGCUGCAUUAGCUAGUUGGUAAGGUAACGGCUUACCAAGGCAACGAUGCAUAGCCGACCUGAGAGGGUGAUCGGCCACACUGGAACUGAGACACGGUCCAGACUCCUACGGGAGGCCGCAGUAGGGAAUCUUCCGCAAUGGGCGAAAGCCUGACGGAGCAACGCCGCGUGAGUGAUGAAGGUCUUCGGAUCGUAAAACUCUGUUAUUAGGGAAGAACAUAUGUGUAAGUAACUGUGCACAUCUUGACGGUACCUAAUCAGAAAGCCACGGCUAACUACGUG